rnacentral:tmRNA from 1 species
UAAGCAAGUCUUGGUUGCGCAAGUAAAAACGUCGAGGUUAUAAUAACCGGAAACCAAAAUUUAGCAUUUGCUUAAGAAAAAGCAAAAACCAAACUAGAAAAUUUCUUGCGUUUUCUAGGGCGGCACAUUUAAGUAAGAUAUAUUAGUUUGGAUGCUAAUAAAAACUAACGAACUUUAAUUAGCUAGCUAAUCUUUAUUUUGAGUAUUUAAUAAACUUAGCAAAAUAAACUAAAUACUAUAAACUUGUAGAAAGUAAUCUCUUAUGUGCUUCGUACAGGGGUUCAAAUCCCCUCAUCUCCACCA